GACGAACGCUGGCGGCGUGCUUAACACAUGCAGGUCGAACGGAAAGGCCCUGCUUUUGUGGGGUGCUCGAGUGGCGAACGGGUGAGUAACACGUGAGUAACCUGCCCUUGACUUUGGGAUAACUACAGGAAACUGGGGCUAAUACCGGAUAGGAGCUCCUGCUGCAUGGUGGGGGUUGGAAAGUUUCGGCGGUUGGGGAUGGACUCGCGGCUUAUCAGCUUGUUGGUGGGGUAGUGGCUUACCAAGGCUUUGACGGGUAGCCGGCCUGAGAGGGUGACCGGCCACAUUGGGACUGAGAUACGGCCCAGACUCCUACGGGAGGCAGCAGUGGGGAAUAUUGCACAAUGGGCGGAAGCCUGAUGCAGCAACGCCGCGUGCGGGAUGACGGCCUUCGGGUUGUAAACCGCUUUCGCCUGUGACGAAGCGUGAGUGACGGUAAUGGGUAAAGAAGCACCGGCUAACUACGUG
rnacentral:rRNA from 1 species